rnacentral:rRNA from 1 species
UACGAAGGGGGCUAGCGUUGCUCGGAAUCACUGGGCGUAAAGCGCACGUAGGCGGACUCUUAAGUCGGUGGUGAAAUCCUGGAGCUCAACUCCAGAACUGCCUUCGAUACUGAGAGUCUCGAGUCCGGGAGAGGUGAGUGGAAUUCCGAGUGUAGAGGUGAAAUUCGUAGAUAUUCGGAAGAACACCAGUGGCGAAGGCGGCUCACUGGACUGGUAUUGACGCUGAGGUGCGAAAGCGUGGGGAGCAAACAGG